CGACCUGAGCUCAGGCAAGGUUACCCGCUGAACUUAAGCAUAUCAUUAAGCGGUGGAAAAGAAACUAACCAGGAUUCCCCUAGUAACGGCGAGCGAACCGGGAAUAGCCCAACUUGAAAAUCUCCCCUUGGAGAAUUGUAGUCUACAGAAGCGCCCUCAUGGGCUGGCGGAACUCAAGUCGGAUCGAAUGCCGCGUCAGAGAGGGUGAUAACCCCGUCGGUUCCUGCCUAGUCCUCUCACGAGGUGCUUUCCACGAGUCGGGUUGUUUGGGAAUGCAGCCCUAAUUUGGAGGUAAAUCCCUUCUAAGGCUAAAUACUGCUGAGAGACCGAUAGCGAACAAGUACCGUGAGGGAAAGAUGAAAAGAACUUUGAAAAGAGAGUUAAAAGUGCUUGAAAUUGUUGAGAGGGAAGCGAUUAGCGCUUGUGUGUGCCCCCAGGCUUAAGUGUGCCUAACGGNCCAUUGAAUGUGCUGGGUGCUGGUCAGAGUGGGUUGUCUUGGCGGGAAAACAGUUGGGUCCACCCCGGUAACCCGGCCGAUGCCGCCGAGAUGACCAAGGCGUGAAGGUUGCUUUGUCCUUCGGGAUCCGCAUCCUAAAGACUCUGGCAGAAAAGCGUUAAUCGACCCGUCUUGAAACACGGACCAAGGAGUCUAACAUGUAUGCGAGUUGNCGGGUUGAAAACCCGUAAGCGCAAGUAACCUGACUGGUGGGAUGGCCUGUGCCUGCACCAUCGACCGACCAUGUUGCUUUUGCGAAAGGUUUGAGUGCGAGCAUACCUGUUGGGACCCGAAAGAUGGUGAACUAUGCCUGAGCAGGGUGAAGCCAGAGUAACCUCUGGUGGAGGCUCGUAGAUGUGCUGACGUGCAAAUCGCUUUUCAGACUUGGGUAUAGGGGCGAAAGACUAAUCGAACCAUCUAGUAGCUGGUUCCCUCCGAAGUUUCCCCCAGGAUAGCUGGAGCUUGAUCAGUUUUAUCGGGUAAAGCGAAUGAUUAGAGGUUCGGGGGAUGAAACAUCCUUCACCUAUUCUCAAACUUUAAAUAGGUAAGACGUGUCGGUUGCUUAACUGAACCGUCACAUUCAAUGUGAGCUCCAAGUGGGCCAUUUUUGGUAAGCAGAACUGGCGAUGCGGGAUGAACCGAUAGUCGAGUUAAGGUGCCAAACUGCGCGCUAACCUAGAUCCCACAAAGGGUGUUGAUUGAUAUAAACAGCAGGACGGUGGUCAUGGAAGUCGAAAUCCGCUAAGGAGUGUGUAACAACUCACCUGCCGAAUCAAUUAGCCCCGAAAAUGGAUGGCGCUUAAGCGCGCGACCUAUACUCGGCCAUGGAUGCAAGUGCGACGCGUCCAUGAGUAGGAGGGCGUGGGUGUCGAGACUAAGCCUCUGGCGUGAGCCUGGGUGAAUCGGCAUCUAGUGCAGAUCUUGGUGGUAGUAGCAAAUAUUCAAAUGAGAACUUUGAAGACUGAAGUGGAGAAAGGUUCCAUGUGAACAGCAAUUGGACAUGGGUUAGUCGAUCCUAAGAGAUGGGGCAAUCCUGUGUGAAGAGCGCGAUUUGUGCUUCCCAUCGAAAGGGAAAAGGGUUAAGAUUCCCUUACUUGGACAAGGCGGCUGGCGGUAACGCAAGCGAGCCCGGAGACAUCGGCAUCGGCCCUGGGAAGAGUUCUCUUUUCUUUUUAACAACCCGAAGGCCCUGGAAUCGAAUCAUUCGAAGAUAGGGCUCAGAGGUUGGUAAAGCACCGCACUUCUCGCGGUGUCCGGCGCGCCGUUGACGGUCCUUGAAAAUCCGGGGGAGCAUUUCCGAUCUUGCCAAGUCGUACUCAUAACCGCAUCAGGUCUCCANNNNNNNNNNNNNNNNNNNNN
rfam:Volvox carteri f. nagariensis unplaced genomic scaffold VOLCAscaffold_903, whole genome shotgun sequence.